rnacentral:sRNA from 1 species
ACUUCACAUCUCGUGCCGCCCCGCCUCUCCUGGCUCCUCCGCCCAGAUCCCCGGCGCUCCCGCGUUCGGUGACGGCCGGGUAGGCUGUAGGCAGCGCAAUGCCAAGACAGAGCUGCUGGCGGCGGCAGGCGAAUCUCCCUGCACCAUGAGCCUCGGGUCCGGCCCCGUUUGGGGCCGAUAAGCACAGCGCACGCCGCCCUCCAUUUGCCCCGGGGCCUCGGCUGCGAAGAUAGCGGCGGCCGGACAGGAAGCCCGAGGAAAGCGCUGGGCCGCGUCUCUACAAACACGUGAAGGAAAAGCAGCUCCGUCCACAGCGCCGCUUCGGGGCUCCUAGGGAGUCGGGCGCCGGGCCGCCACCAUCACCUCUGCCGCUGCUGCUGCCGCCAUCGCCUUGUUCCCCCACCCCCGCCAUGGCCGAGGACCUCUCCGCGGCCACGUCCUACACCGAAGAUGAUUUCUACUGCCCCGUCUGUCAGGAGGUGCUCAAAACGCCCGUGCGGACCACGGCCUGUCAGCACGU